UAUAACCAUUUAAUAUUAUUAUUUUUAAUUAAUAAUUUAAAAUAUACGAAUAGAUAGCGCGUAUUUAAAAAAGCGCUAUCUAUGAAAACCAAAUUUUUUAAAAAAAAUUACCAAUCCUUUCAAAAUAGAUUGCGCUUUCUCCUAUUAUGAUUAAAAUAUUUUCCUUCCCGCUGCUACGACUCCGCGACAUUCACUAUCACUGCCCGCGACGUUCACUGCGUAGCUUCUCUGUUUCAUUCGUGCUGCUAUUCUCAUUCAUCAUUGUUAGGGCUUUUCUCCUCCGUUUCAUCAAGGGCUCCUUCUCCUCCGUUCAUCAGUGCGUUAGGGCACCUUCGACGGUUCUUCGUAUGACGUCUCUGCUCGCUCGUUUUUCGACUCCCGUUUUCAACAGUGGCGCUUCGGACUGCGACAUUAAGGUUUGACAUAUUUUAGUUCCUUCUAUCUGAAUUAUUGGACCCAUAAUCUCGUUCCUUCUAUUUUGUAAAGUGCAAUUUGGCCCUUUUGUUUUCUUGACCCUAAUUUUUUCCUUUCCAAAUUUUUUUGUUGAUUAUAUAAACUGUAUACGAUCUCUUCCUCUCACUAAAAUGAUUGUGUUGUGUUGAAAGAAAUAACGAUAAAUAUUUGAUUGAGAUGGCCAUUGUUCGGCC
rnacentral:lncRNA from 1 species